GUGUUGAAUAAUGCCUAUUUGUUCUCAAACCACAAAACAUAAAACGUGGGAAAAGAAGAGUAAUAAGUCAAGGUAACUGUUGUUUUGGUGUGAAAAAGUAUUUGUGUUGCAGUUGUCUAAGUAUAAGUCAAAAGUGUGAAGAGUACUCCUAAGUCUAAGUUAAUAAUAAGGUUAUAUGGAGAAAGAUCGAAGUGUUCUGUUCUCUGUAUAAAUAUGUAAUGGCCAUCGUUGUGUAAAGUAAGCAAGUAAGAAAUCAGUUCUCUUAUGUAAUGGCCAUUGUUGUAUAAAGGAAGCAAGUAAGAAAUCAGUUCUCUACUUCAUCUUUCUCUAUCUACUACCACCUCUCACUCAUACGUUCUACACACAAACAUUCAUCUGUUUUCUUUUCUUUGAACAAGACCAAAAAC
rnacentral:lncRNA from 1 species